UGGCAUUUAGGAAGUGCUUAGCUGUUUAAGCUCAGUUCAUCUGAAUUUAACUUAUUCGUCAUGAGAGUUUGCUAGUAGGGAUACAAGCA
rnacentral:sRNA from 21 species